AUGGUUGAACUUGAAAGGCAUGUUAUGUUUUCCGCUGUUUAUCGUCUCAUUGAGUUGGCAUUGCUACUACCGAUAACAAUAACAACAGUUGAAAGAGUCUUCUCAUCAAUGAAAAUCAUCAAGAUUGAGUUGUGCUGCAAGAUGUCUGAUGGCUAGCUUAAUGAUUUGAUGGUGUGUUACAUUGAGCGAGAGGUCUUCAAAAGUAUUGAUCUUGAUAAAAUUAAGAAAGAUUUUCAGAAGAAGGGUAGGGAACUGCCAUUGUCUGGGUCUUCUAGACGCCAUUAA
rnacentral:rRNA from 1 species